GACGAACGCUGGCGGCGUGCUUAACACAUGCAAGUCGAACGGAAAGGCCCUGCUUUUGUGGGGUGCUGGAGUGGCGAACGGGUGAGUAACACGUGAGUAACCUGCCCUUGACUUUGGGAUAACUUCAGGAAACUGGGGCUAAUACCGGAUAGGUGCUCCUGCUGCAUGGUGGGGGUUGGAAUGUUUCGGCGGUUGGGGAUGUACUUGAGUCUUAUGAGCUCGUUGGUGGGGUAGUGGCUUACCAGGGCUUUGACAGGUAGCCGGCCUGAGAGGGUGACCGGCCACAUUGGGACUGAGCUACGGCCCAGACUCCUACGGGAGGCAGCAGUGGGGAAUAUUGCACAAUGGGCGGAAGCCUGAUGCAGCAACGCCGCGUGCGGGAUGACGGCCUUCGGGUUGUAAACCGCUUUCGCCUGUGACGAAGCGUGAGUGACGGUAAUGGGUAAAGAAGCACCGGCUAACUACGUG
rnacentral:rRNA from 1 species